rnacentral:lncRNA from 1 species
UUACAAGUCUUGAGUCCUAGUCGGGUACUAUUACAGAGUUCUACUCGGUAAGGCCCGAGUAGUUUUCCAUAAACAUACUUGACUAGUCCGAGUGGGAUACGCCUAUCCCUUGUUUCGAUCGUGUCCGAGUACGCCCCUGAGUGGGCCAUCCAAGGUCUACUCGUGGGCCUGGGGUGCAUGCCCGACACUCACUUCUAGGUGGCAGAACCAACCUACGAUGAAGUCCAAAUUCUUGUGAUCCCGGGUGAUAGAGCCAACCUUCGAUGGAUCAUAACUUAUGUACUAAGUAUUUAGAAACUACAACCCAACCGGGAGACUAAUAGUUACAAAAGACUUUAUUAGAACACAACAAUACUACACAAGAGUGUACAACACUCUGUCUUUAGUGGCUAGCCUAGCACUCACCUUUUUCUCACUGUCACACUACCACGCUCCCCUCAUCCACCAUGCUAAUGGUUGAAUGGCAUGGCAAGUGAGGGGGUUCUAUUUAUAGGUAAAGGGGGUCAUGAGAUUGAGACAAGUGUCCUCCUUUCUAGAGACUUCCUAGAUAUUACAACAUUUACUAAUUUAUUUUAUUACCAAGGUCGAUAUCUUCUCCUUGCACGAUGGACAAAACUCUAGAAGGUUUUUGCCUUGCUUACUUUCAACAUUCUCCCUCAAGGAAAAAAUCUUUUCAAAUUUAUCUGGCAGACCAUGCCAAGCGCCUCUUGAAACUUCUCAAAAUUUAGUUUUUUAGACUCUUUGUGAGUAUGUGGACAGUUUUUCUAUCUUGGUAGGCACCAUUGCAAUCUCACCCUCAAGGACAUUUUUUCAUAUGUAGCGGUAGUGAACUUGUAUGUGUUUGAUCCUUGUUUGGACGACUGGAUUUUCUACCAAACGAAUAGACGGUAGAUUAUCAUAGAAAUCCUUACUUGGUAUUCUGUUGGCCAGUCAGGGGUAGGCCUAAAUGUAUUUCAAGGGUAUUCAAUUGAAUACACAUUAUUUUUUGCAACAAGUUCAUGUAUGUAGUGUAUAACACAUAUACCUAUUCAGAAAAUAGAAAAUGGCACCACAAAAAUAGGCUUUCUAAUAUGUCCUUGCCUUCGUGAGCCCAAAAAGAGAUUAGCCCACACUCCCCUCCCUCCCCAAGGCCUAGAAAUGGCCCAAAGUUGGCCCUGCAGACUGUCGAGUCGCCAUCUCGGAGUCUUCCCGAUCCCCUCCCGACUGCCUCUCUCUCGCUCAUCCCCGAAGUCUCGAACUAGACAGCCGACAGUGCAUGCAUGGAGCUUCAGCCUUGGGAGCAGGCCGAGCGGGCUGCCGAGCAUAGGGCGGCAGGCUUCCCAGCUCUAAUGUCCUUCCCAGCUUCCCUGUUCCGUCUUGGCUCCACCGCUCUUCCCUUCGUGUUCUGCGCACAGGGAUAGUGCCACAACAACAGAAGUCAACAACUGACUAACUUAGGUGAGAAGAAAAUUGUUAUUGAUUUGGGAAUUUGUGAUCGCAAUUUCCAAUACUUGUCAAUUUGUGACAAUUUGAGAGUGAU